UAUAUCCAUACAAUGGAUACUAAAAAGAUAAUACAAAGCAUAGAUGGAAGGGAUUAUCAUAAACUGAAAUCGUUAUGCCUUUUGUUCGGCAAAUUUUUAUUGAAUAUUUUUCCUUUUGUUUGACUUUUAGUAACUGAAUGACUACGUUCUAUUGUAAAGAAAUCGUAUGUUUUCUUUGCAAUUUUUAUGAAUGUAUAUGUAUAUCAAAUAAUCGAUCUGCUCAGUACAGUAGUUAGGGCAGGGAGAACAAGAGGGUUUCUCUUUUACAUAUGUUGUAUGCAUGUAUAUCUGUUCGAGAAUUCUUAUAGUCGCAUUUGAAACUAACAAUUUUUUAGUAUAAUAAUAUCAUAAUAUAUAUACGAAGUUAUAUUACGUUAGACUCUAAGAAUAAGAAUCGACAUGAAUGAAAAAAAAAAGGUUAAGGAAGAAGAACCAAGUAACACAUGUAAUUAAGGAUAUUAGGAGCUUUUGCAUUACAUUUUAAAUAUAAGUUUCAAAUGUAAAGAGAUGCAAGUAUAUCAUAAUAGUUAUAUAUUUAAAAUGGAAACUGUGUAAAUGUAUAAAAAGAAUGAUAAAUGGUUAUAAUAAAGUUAGGAUAUAAAGAAAUUCAAGAUUCGAUAUUGUCUCUAGCUUGCACGGUAAUAAUUUUUAUUUGCAUUAUAUUUAACUUGUUCUAAAUGAAUUUCUGUAAUAUAAACAUUUAGAUAAUA